UUACGGCCACAUCAUGUCGAAACAACGGUUCCCGUACGAUCACUCAAGUUAAGCAACGUCGAGACUGGUCAGUACUUAGAUGUGUGAUCGCUUGGGAAUAUCAAUUGCUGUUA